CAUUUUCUAGUAUUUUUCUGAAAACAAAAUCAUUCCGAAUUUUGAUAAGCUUGUUAGUAUAAAGUAAUACGAACAGCUAUGUGAUAUCUAAUUAUUUUAAUGAAUUUUAGUAUUUAUUUUUAGUUCUUUUAUGAUCAUUUAGAUGUUUUUAGUUCAUAUGUGUUUCUUCCUCGUUCUCAUCCUUCUAAUCCCAGUCAUCUCUUUAAUCUCUGUUAUGGGUUGAACUAAAUAACAGAGUCCGAUUCAUGAUUGAAGAUUUCAGCUCUCUCUCUAAGGUCUUCAUUUCAUUCCAUCCAACAUCACUCAAACCGGAUCCUCUGUAUUCGAUUGGGUAACGUCGCGUACGCAGUGCUCAGUGGGCGCUUAAGAUCUUCAGGCCGAGCUUGCUUUGAAGAUGUGGAAGCGUUCCCCUCAAGUGGUCGUUGAAGGUUGAGAGUGAAGGAGGAAGGCGAAUGAAGAGAAGAAGCACUUCAAUGGAGCUUCUGGUGAUGUUGAUUAUACGGUGGAGGUAGACGUGCAGGAGAUAGCCUCCGGCACUGUAGAGCUUCGGAGUCGAUGAUUCCCGCACCGUUUGCGUUCUACCCAGAAAAGCAACACGUUGUAUUCGUUCAUGAAACAUGCGUCUUCAUUUACUUUCAUCUUAUCUCAAUUGAGUUGACCGUGUUGGCUAUAUCAUUUACUGUAAUGUUCGUCCUUGUAGAUUAGGUUCAAUUGGGAUGGUCUGUAAACGAUAUGGGCUGUAAACAUCAUUAUGUCGACAAAAAAAAAAGGUUCAUAUGUGUUUAAUUGCAUAUAAACGGUUAGAGUUUUCCUUUCGUUAGGUGAAACUGAAUUCAAAAAGAAACAAAAGAGAAAGGACCAAACUGCAAAUAGAUGUAACUUAAGUUGUUUAUCAGAUUGAGGGUCUUCCACACCUAGAUCGGCCGAUCUCAAGCUCUGGGAUUAGGCUCGUCGCCUGAUGGUGGGCAAAUCGCGGUUUUGAGAUCAUCUGCAAUUGUAUGUGACAUCGAUGACUGUGGGAGCUGAGAUGGCUGUUGGAUGUGAGCUUAGAAGGUCGCGGCGGUGAAAAGAUGAACGCGACUCACGCCGUGGAGAAGCUUUGACACGAACACGGGGGCGGCAAUCGCGGUUGCACCAUCGGAGAUCAAUCUGAUUUGCGAUAGAGAUACAGGAGAAGUCGUGGAAUGGCAUGGCAAGGAGUCGAGGUCGCUGAGACAAAUAAGUUGCAGGUACACUGUCUCACAUAAGAGAAGCUCACAUUUAAUAAUAGAUCGUAGUGGUUUGAUUAAAAAGGGUUUUAAGGCGAUGUGUCUAUUACGGUGAACGUUUCGAUCAGGUAGGAAGAAGACCGAAGGACGUGAGACAACCGCCAACAGCUUCAUCACGUCAGCGUCUUGGUUUAAAAAAGCUCUCGCUUUGGUCGCCAUGGCGCAAAGCGAGGUGUUGCGAUGUCCUCAUCGACUUGACACCUCAAGGCAAUGCAACAUACACAAAGCGCUCGCUUUAAGCGCUUUCUUAGUAAUUUCUAUAGCGACCAAAGCGUUGCCUUAUCAAAUUUAAGCUAAACCAAAUUGGUUUGUCCACAAUUAGGUUAUUAAACCGAUCUAGGUUUGUAAUUGAAGCUUUGGCUUCACAUAGAUUUAUCUCCAAACCCUAAUCUGACCUUCUAAGUAAGAGUUUUACAAUGUUUUUCAUAACACUUUUUUGAUACUUGAACAUUACUUGAUACUUGAACAUUACGUGUAGUAAAAUGAUGUUAUUUACUGUUAUUGGCUUCGUACACAAAGCGAUCGCUUUGUGUCGCCAUGGCGCAAGGCGAGAGGCGAGACCCUCAUUGCCUUACCUCGCCAUGCGCCAUUUCAAACCAAGGUCAGCGUCGGCGACUCAAUCUCUCGAGAAAGUGGUGAACCCUAGAAUCAAAAUCGACGCUUAGGGAUUCUCACUAUUGAGAUGGGUCAGUAAACGUAAAGCCCACAUAAACUGUAACCCAUAUUUUCUAAAUGAAACGCAACGUUUAUAUAUAGGACACGUGUCGCACUCC